CGGGUGCACUGAUCCAGCCGGGCCUUUCCCUCUGUGGAACCCCAUGGCCUUCACUGGCUGUGGUGGGGAAACAGGACUUUUACUUUGAAAAAAUUAGAGUGCUCCAGGCAGGCCUAUGCUCGAAUACAUUAGCAUGGAAUAAUAGAAUAGGACGUGUGGUUCUAUUUUGUUGGUUUCUAGGACCGCCGUAAUGAUUAAUAGGGACAGUCGGGGGCAUCAGUAUUCAAUUGUCAGAGGUGAAAUUCUUGGAUCUAUUGAAGACUAACUACUGCGAAAGCAUUUGCCAAGGAUGUUUUCAUUGAUAAGGAACGAAAGUUAGGGGAUCGAAGACGGUCAGAUACCGUCGUAGUCUUAACUAUAAACUAUGCCGACUAGGGAUCGGACGAUGUUAUUCUUUGACGCGUUCGGCACCUUUCGAGAAAUCAAAGUGCUUGGGCUCCAGGGGGAGUAUGGUCGCAAGGCUGAAACUUAAAGAAAUUGACGGAAGGGCACCACCAGGGGUGGAACCUGCGGCUUAAUUUGACUCAACACGGGGAAACUCACCAGGUCCAGACACAGUGAGGAUUGACAGAUUGAGAGCUCUUUCUUGAUUCUGUGGGUGGUGGUGCAUGGCCGUUCUUAGUUGGUGGAGUGAUUUGUCUGCUUAAUUGCGAUAACGAACGAGACCUUAACCUGCUAAAUAGCCCGUACUGCUUUGGCAGUUCGCCGGCUUCUUAGAGGGACUAUCGG
rnacentral:rRNA from 1 species